rnacentral:rRNA from 1 species
GUUAGAAAUGACUGCUAAUACCGCAUAAGCGCACAGUGCCGCAUGGCAGUGUGUGAAAAACUACCGGUGGUGUGAGAUGGAUCCGCGUCUGAUUAGCCAGUUGGCGGGGUAACGGCCCACCAAAGCGACGAUCAGUAGCCGACCUGAGAGGGUGACCGGCCACAUUGGGACUGAGACACGGCCCAAACUCCUACGGGAGGCAGCAUG